UUGACACAACUCUAUAUUCUUCCAGUGAAGAGUGCUUUGAUCUUGUAAUUUAUUCAUUAUUAAUUAGUGGUAACCAGUUAUGGGAGUUUUACUGGGUGGAAUCAGUGCGAGUGCUGCUACUGCUGCUGCUGAUUUCCCUAUGCGAUGCUCUCGUUGUAUCACAGCAUUUUUCUUGUAAGUUGUAACCCGACGGAUUUCCAUAUUUGAGGAAAUUGAGCUUUUUUUUUUUUUUUUUUUUUUUU
rnacentral:misc_RNA from 1 species